rnacentral:misc_RNA from 2 species
AGCAGCCGCGGUAAUUCCAGCUCCAAUAGCGUAUAUUAAAGUUGUUGCAGUUAAAAAAGCUCGUAGUUGAAUUUCGGGAUCAGUAUGUUGGUCGUGCUUCGGUACGUACUGUCAUUACUGGUUUCUACCUUCUGAAGAACCUUGAUGUCAUUAAUUUGGUGUCUUGGGGAAUCAGGACUGUUACUUUGAAAAAAUUAGAGUGUUUAAAGCAAGCAUACGCUUGAAUACAUUAGCAUGGAAUAAUGAAAUAGGACGUUUGAUUCUAUUUUUGUUGGUUUCUAGGAUCGACGUAAUGAUUAAUAGGGAUAGUUGGGGGCAUUAGUAUUCAAUUGUCAGAGGUGAAAUUCUUGGAUUUAUUGAAGACUAACUACUGCGAAAGCAUUUGCCAAGGAUGUUUUCAUUAAUCAAGAACGAAAGUUAGGGGAUCGAAGACGAUCAGAUACCGUCGUAGUCUUAACCAUAAACUAUGCCGACUAGGGAUCGGAUGAUGUUAUUUUUUAAUGACUCAUUCGGCGCCUUA